GAAAUGCGAUACUUGGUGUGAAUUGCAGAAUCCCGUGAACCAUCGAGUCUUUGAACGCAAGUUGCGCCCGAAGCCAUUAGGCCGAGGGCACGCCUGCCUGGGUGUCACACAUCGUUUCCCCAACGCAAACAUGUAACAAUGUUGCUGCGCGGGGUGUAUGCUUGCCUCUUAAUCCACAUCUUUAUUCAAGAUGACCUCAGAUCAGGUAGGGAUACCCGCUGAACUUAA
rnacentral:misc_RNA from 1 species